rnacentral:misc_RNA from 1 species
UCUGCAUGCAGACGUGGCAUCGAAUCUGACGUGUCGAAGUAGUGGAAGUCCAUCAGCUGCGGCACGUGCGAGCUGAAUGCUUGCUGCUGAGGCACGUGCGAAGAGGUCGACGGUUUCUGCUCCGGAGCAGCGGCCGGAGGCGGAGGUCGGAUUGACCGACUAGCCGCCGUCUUUGGGGUAGCUGGCUUUUCAGCUCCGCCUUUUUUGUUGUAAAUUCGGCACAAGACCCAAUCAUCCAGCCGUAGGCUGUUCUUGCGACGAGCUGAUCGAUCCACGUCAGCGAGGCGGUACUCGUGCAUGAUCCAGUUCGUCUUCUCGCCCUUGGGUGCCUUGCCCGCAUAGAACACCAGUGCCUUCUUGAUCGCCACCGGCUUCAGCGUCCCCG